GAGUUUGAUCCUGGCUCAGGAUGAACGCUGGCGGCGUGCCUAAGGCAUGCAAGUCGUACGAGCUUAGUAGCAAUACUAGGCUAGUGGCAGACGGGUGAGUAACACGUGGGAACGUACCUAAAAGUGGGGGAUAGCUUGCCGAAAGGCAAAUUAAUACCGCAUGUGAACGUAAGUUUAAAGCCGAAAGGCGCUUUUAGAUCGGCCUGCGCCCCAUCAGCUUGUUGGUAGGGUAAUGGCCUACCAAGGCUUCGACGGGUAGCUGGUGUGAGAGCAUGACCAGCCACAACUGCACUGAGACACGGGCAGUACAUCUACGGAUGGCAGCAACCGGGAAUAUUGGACAAUGGACGAAAGUCUGAUCCAGCGACGCCGCGUGAGGGAUGAAGGCUUUAGAGUUGUAAACCUCUUUUGUAUGGGAAGAAAUCAAUGACGGUACCAUACGAAUAAGGACCUGCAAACUACGUGCCAGCAGCCGCGGUAAUACGUAGGGUCCGAGCGUUAUCCGGAUUUAUUGGGCGUAAAGGGUUGCGUAGGCGGUUAUAUAAGUCUAUCUUUAAAGCCUGGAGCUUAACUCCAGAUAUGGGGUAGAUACUGUAUAGCUAGAGUGACGGAGGGGGAGAUGGAAUUGUCGGUGGAGCAGUGAAAUGCGUUGAUAUCGACAAGAACACCAAAGGCGAANGCAGUCUCCUGGUCGUCUACUGACGCUCAUGCACGAAAGCUAGGGGAGCGAAGCAGAUUAGAGACCUGCGUAGUCCUAGCCGUAAACGAUGGACACUAGAUAGUAGAUUUUUAUUUACUGUCGUCAAGCUAACGCGUUAAGUGUCCCGCCUGGGGAGUACGGUCGCAAGACUAAAACUCAA
rnacentral:rRNA from 1 species